UCUGUUGUCACAAUGAUGUUUUGAAAUUAAAAAUAAUUUUCAAUAGUUUUUCUUUUCUCUUGACUUGUACAAGUCAAUGGCCUUUCAUAUACGAAUCACUUACAUGCCCCGCAUUUUUGUUAUCGCAAAACUUAAUUAUUAUCGAUGGAAUAUGGGAGUGUUCCUGAAGCCACUUUGUCGCUGUUAGAUUUUCAAUAUGGACUGGUGCCACAAGAUUAUGUUAGUUGUGUUCGAUUAUGUGUGAGAAGAAAUAACGGUCGCUUUGAGUUAAAUACUACGAAAGCUGUUGGAAAACCUAACUUUGUAUUUAAACCAUAGCUACACCGAGGUCAAUGCAAAAUACCAUGCACCUUCCUUAAAAUGUAUAUUUCUGUGCCUUACAGUUAUGGGUGCAUAAAAACGAAGGGGAAGGCAUCAGAGAGAGGUCAGUAACAGAUAUUCACCAGGAACAAGCGAAAGCAACUGGCAGCUACCACAAUGAACAGUACUUGGCAUGAUUAAAUUAUAUUUAUUUUAAAACUCCACAAAAUAUUAACAUUGUUAACUAACUAAUAUCUUUAACUAAUCAUUAUAGACAACUCCAGUCGGAUCGCACUUAGUCAACAAGGGAGAGAAUCUGGUGGCGAAUACCUAUAGUGUGCCGAGGAUAUGAAAAGGCUAUGAGAGCGGUUCCGCACGGGCGUGGUAGGCGCCACGCUCGUAAAGCAAGAGCAUCCGCUCGUUUGUGUACUGAGAAAAAUGUUGUCCCAACUUUAAAGAUUUGUUCCACAGAUAAACAACAAAAUUUUUUUUAACUAGAAUAUGGACCUAAUCUUAGUAUUAGAGACAAAAAAUCAUCCACAUAUCUUUACAUGGCACUGUAGUAAACGAAACCGAAAUAGGAAUGUCCUUAAACAUGCAUAAUUGAAACGAAAAGAUGUUAAUUCAUAUAAUAGGAUUUUUCUACAAUGAAAAUAUUGAGAGUCUUUUGUGAAGUAAAAUGAAAUUUAGUCGGCCUAAUUCGAAGUACGUUUGUAUAUAGUGACUUCUAUUUAAAGAUAGUAUCUUUCUUCAAGGCAUAAGUCUUUAAUUUUAAGUAAUCUUCUCGUCUAAUGCUGGCGACAUUUGUGAGGUAUGCAUAGAAGCCGUGAAGAAACUUCUUCCCAAGGAGGUGUCGCAUUGCGGCACGUCGCGCAGUGGGAUAGAAACGAAAAAAAAAAAAAAUAGUAAAAAAUUUGCCAUUUGAGGACUGUUUCAAAUUUGAAAUGGUCAAAGCUGAGGUAUUAUCGAGAUCAUGUGCAAAAUAUAAAUAUGUAUAUAAGUGUCUUAAAAAAUAAAUUCAGCCCGAAUUCUUUUACAAAAAUAACCAUUUUGGUAAAAAUUGUUUUAAUGUCGACAUUAUGUUUUAGCGAAUUUGCUGCGUAGGCUACGAAUAUUGUUUGGGACAUAUGAAGUUAAAAAAAAUUAGCCCGAAUAGGGUAUCUGGGCUUUCCAUUUUGAGAAUUCGAGGGUUCCAUUUUCCAUUUUUUAAAACGCCUCUACGAUAUGUUCUCUUUACAAAAGAACAAAAAAAGUUAAGGUGUUUUAGCAACUUUUUUUCAAUAAAUACUAAUU